GGGAGCGAGCUGAUCCCUUCGGGGUGACGCUCGUGGAACGAGCGGCGGACGGGUGAGUAACACGUGGGCAACCUGCCUGUAAGAUCGGGAUAACUCCGGGAAACCGGGGCUAAUACCGGGUAAUACUUUCUUUCGCAUGAAGGAAAGUUGAAAGAUGGCUUCUCGCUAUCACUUACAGAUGGGCCCGCGGCGCAUUAGCUAGUUGGUGAGGUAACGGCUCACCAAGGCGACGAUGCGUAGCCGACCUGAGAGGGUGAUCGGCCACACUGGGACUGAGACACGGCCCAGACUCCUACGGGAGGCAGCAGUAGGGAAUCUUCCGCAAUGGACGAAAGUCUGACGGAGCAACGCCGCGUGAACGAUGAAGGUCUUCGGAUCGUAAAGUUCUGUUGUUAGGGAAGAACAAGUACCGUGCGAAUAGAGCGGUACCUUGACGGUACCUAACGAGGAAGCCCCGGCUAACUACGUGCCAGCAGCCGCGGUAAUACGUAGGGGGCAAGCGUUGUCCGGAAUUAUUGGGCGUAAAGCGCGCGCAGGCGGUUCCUUAAGUCUGAUGUGAAAGCCCACGGCUCAACCGUGGAGGGUCAUUGGAAACUGGGGAACUUGAGGACAGAAGAGGAGAGUGGAAUUCCACGUGUAGCGGUGAAAUGCGUAGAUAUGUGGAGGAACACCAGUGGCGAAGGCGACUCUCUGGUCUGUU
rnacentral:rRNA from 1 species